rnacentral:rRNA from 1 species
CCCUUAGAUGUCCUGGGCCGCACGCGCGCUACACUGAUGCAUGCAACGAGUUUCAUUUCUCCUGGGUCGAGAGGCCCGGGUAAUCUGUUGAACGUGCAUCGUGAUAGGGAUAGAUCAUUGCAAUUAUUGAUCUUGAACGAGGAAUUCCUAGUAAACGCGAGUCAUCAGCUCGCAUUGAUUACGUCCCUGCCCUUCGUACACACCGCCCGUCGCACCUACCGAUUGAAUGGUCCGGUGAAAUCUUCGGAUUGAGACUUUGAUUUGUUUACUCAAAACGCUGUUUCAAGAAGUUGAUUAAACCUUACCAUUUAGAGGAAGGUGAAGUCGUAACA